rfam:Candidatus Magnetoovum chiemensis strain CS-04 SAG2750, whole genome shotgun sequence.
GGAGAGGUUCCCGAGCGGCCAAAGGGGACGGGCUGUAAACCCGUUGGCGUAGCCUUCGGAGGUCCGAAUCCUCCCCUCUCCA